rnacentral:rRNA from 1 species
AUUGAACGCUGGCGGCAGGCCUAACACAUGCAAGUCGAACGAGUGGCGGACGGGUGAGUAAUGUCUGGGAAACUGCAUGAUGGAGGGGGAUAACUACUGGAAAAGGUAGCUAAUCCCGCAUACCAUCGGAUGUGCCCAGAUGGGAUUAGAUAGUAGGUGUGGUAACGGCUCACCUAGGCGACGAUCCCUAGCUGGUCUGAGAGGAUGACCAGUCACACUGGAACUGAGACACGUUCCAGACUCCUACGGGAGGCAGCAGUGGGGAAUAUUGGACAAUGGGCGAAAGCCUGAUGCAGCCAUGCCGCGUGUGUGAAGAAGGUCUUCGGAUUGUAAAGCACUUUACGUUGGGAGGCGUUACCAACAGAAUAAGCACCGGCUAACUUCGUGCCAGCAGCCGCGGUAAUAC